AUUAAUUUGAGAGUUUGAUCCUGGCUCAGGACGAACGCUGGCGGCGUGCCUAACACAUGCAAGUCGAGCGGUCUCAUGUUUAACACUGAAUAUUC
rnacentral:rRNA from 1 species